GAGAGGUCCGUACCAGAAAACGGCACCAUUUCCAGGGUUUUUAUUGGCUCAGUGGGAUGGUCACGUGACCAUCCUUUCAAGCCACGCAGUGGUGGAUAGGCCCCGAAAUUUCAGCAGCCGCCGUCGCAUUUGAAUCGGCAAUUGUUUUUUUUUCCUCGUUUGUUGUCAUUUUCGUUUUUAAUGGCGGCCUGCUGUCAUUUAAAAUGAAUAAAUAUAUUACUUUUAGAAAAGGGCCGACCUCUCGUGAAGAGAACGAUGGAAUUUAUAGAUUCGGCUGGGAAACUUGUCGAGAAAGCUUUUUUGCUUUUUUAGAUAAACUGACACGAGAGUUUGGUACCUUCUCAAACAGGCAUAAUUUCAAUCUAAUUAAUUGUAUCUGAGAUUUUUUUACCAGAUUUUUUUACUAACAGGGAGCCCUCACUUUUUGCCGUAGCAAAACUGUUGGCAACUGGUCUUGUAAAUCUGAACAGGGUAGAAGUUCUUUAGCAUCCUGUAACAAAUCACCUGCUGGAAGUCAUCAUCCACACCCAUACUGCCCUCUUCGCUUUAUUGUUUUCGAUGAGUGACAAAACAGAGAAAAAAGAAUGCUGCGUGAAUGGAUUCUGUCACUGUCCAUGGUAUAGGCUGUUGUAUUCUCGUAAUAUAAUUGAGGUGUUAAUCGAACUGACCCCAUGGGAAUCUUUCAACCCCUAAUGGAUUCUUAAAAGGUUCGUCGUUUGCUCGUAAGCCAGUUUGAAUGGCAGGUGAAGGCCAGUGUCAAAAAAAAAUAAUCGACUAACUUUUCGUUUUUAUGGCAUAGCAGUCUUGGUCCUGGUCUUGGUCUUGGUUGGUUUUUUUAUCAGAUAACGGAAAUCCUCAGAUUAAUUAUUUAUUACCUCCAUUGGCUGCUGCCAUCGAGGAUGCGUUCGUCAGAUUGGCUGGUGAUGGUGAUAUCAGCGUAUUUGUUAUCCUUGUUGUAGCUGGGAGUAGAGUAAGCUGGUGCAGGUUAGCUAGUAGUAGGGUACUUUGGUGCAGGGAAGUUUGGGGUAGUAGUGAUAUAUCAAAUCUAUAAAUAUCUAUAAAUAUCUCAACCCCUGUAUAUGCUGUACAUGCAAAGUAACAUGUGCAAAUUCGAGCGCGUGUCCGUCCUGGUGUCGAAGACGUUUCAUCAUUUUUAUGUAUAGCUCGGGACAAAGAUCGGCAUUAACUCACGAUUUCUUCAUGUUGAUUUAUUCAUAUCAGCUCCUCGCGUAUUUCAUUCUUUUUUCAUAUUUGAAUUGGUUAAACAUAGCGGUAAUCUCCUCCUAUAAACCACUUUAAACGUUUAGCAUUAAUUGAUGUUUUAAAGUUGAUUUUUUUGGGCGUUAUUGGCUAACAUCGUUUUCUUUUGUUGUUGUGGCUCUCCCGCAUCUAUUCGGCCGAUCCAAACUAAUACACAACGCCAGUUUUAUUUCGAAAGUGACGAGACCGAUGUGCCUUGUGCCACAUUUCACUCAACUUUUCUUUCUGGUUUUUCCAGCUGCGAUAACUAUAUAAUAGAGUCUGUGAUUACUUAAUGCGUCCGCGUUCUAUAUACCACAGCCGUUGGGCCGGUAUUCGUCCAGCUCAACAUCCAUUUCAAUUACAGCCAACAGGUGUGCGCCAUUAUCGAUUUUUCAUUAUACACUUCAUUAACAGAUUUAUUUGUGUUUCUAUACACGCUCCAAGUUGGGUUAACCUAAAUAAAAAAUGUCAUCGUA
rnacentral:lncRNA from 1 species